CCAGGAAGUUCGAUGCUAACUUCAUCAUGUGAGUAAACAGAGACAAUAUUUAUUGAUUAUUAAGAAAGUCACUUUCUGACCAAGACUUGCUUUUGGAAAAUCAUACAUUAGUACAACCACACAACUCCUAUCGCUUAAUAUUUUUUUCCCCAAAAGAUAUUUGCAUGAAUAAAUUCUUUGAAAUAAAUACUGCAUUGGAGUUGUUGUAAUUAUAAUAAUCAUACUGCAUUGGAGUUCAUUUAAGUGGCUUCCUUCAAUACACUCAAAAGCUGUAAGUUCAAU
rnacentral:lncRNA from 1 species